rnacentral:lncRNA from 1 species
CUUUUUAGUUGAAGGUUCAAUAAACAAGAUGGCUGUAAAUUUACGAAGCCAAGUACAAAUGGAUAAUCUAAAAGCUAAUUUACAAGUAACAAUCAACAUUCAAAAUAAGAGUUGAAAUAUAGCACUUCAUAGAUUAACGUAAUUUACAAACAUAGUUUACAUGCCUUCGCUCAAAAUAGUCCGACCUCAUACAAAAGAUUAUGUAAUAACUACUACUUCAAUUAAUAGCUACUAAUUAGGUCCGACCUCAUACAAAAGAUUAUGUAAUAGCUACUAAUUAGGUCGAUCCCUUUCCUUCUCAAUUCAUUUUGGCAAUUCCUUGCACACCUUCACGUUCACUGUAAUAUGUAGAUCUUCUUUCACUGAGAUGCGAACUUGAGAUUGAAUCAUGUGUGAUAUUUGUUCAGAUGUUUCGUUAGUUGCAAAGCUAACCAAAGAAGCGCUAGCUCUAGACGAUUGGCUGCUUUAUUCUUCUUUGACAACCCAUUCCCAAAAUCCACAUUUCUUACUGUAGCAAAGAAAUAAUUGCCCUUUAUUUUUAGUCUCCUUCUCCUUCUCCACCAUGAAACUCUUUUCAAAUCUAUGUUGGAUAGGAGUCUGCUGCAGAGGCUGAUUCUUGCGCCUUUUAAGUCGGCCCGUGGACAGUCAGCUAAGAAAUGCCCCUUAGAUCUACAACUGUGACAGAUUCCACAAUUCUUGUAGCCCAUUUUGCGAUGAGAACAUAUCACAGAGCAUCAACUCAAAUAGAAAACACUGUUGUUGAAAGGAAAAUAACACAAAGGAAUUUGUUGGCAAGCAAUAUUCUGCAUCAAUAAGAAAUUUAUAAGUAUUCCAACCACAGUUUCUCAUGAUCCCAGUGGUACACCAGCAAAUUUUAAUAGAGAGGCAGGUUCCAAACUUAAGCCAACAUCAUCAAACACCAAUUUAUAUGAUGCACAAGUGAAACUCAGAUUAAUUAUCCACUGAUUAUACUGAAACAUUGGUGCGAAAAUGGUUACAAGCGUCCACAUGGUCUUUAUAUAGGAAAUGCCUGAUGGCAUUUAGGGGACCAAUCUAGAUGACACACCGGAUUUAAUAAGUUAGGAGACACGUUUUGGCCCCAAAAAAGGAUUCAACCAAAUACUAUGUUUCACCAAAGAUCCGAUAUCAAUGCUAUCAAAUCUUACUUCAAUAAAGACCAAACUCCCUGUAAUUCGAUUUACCUCAACAUGGCAAAAAAUAAAAAUAAAAAUUGAGACGCAGGAGAUAAUGGAAAAACUAAACAUGAUAAUGAAAUUUCUAAUUGCGCCCAGCAGCUAUUACAUAGAUCCACAAUAGUGAAGCAAAAAUCCAAACUCGUGUGUAGAGAAAUUUGAUUGCUACCAAUUCAAAUGUGGUCUUCUACGUUUAACAUUUCAAAUAUAAAAAUAACAGAGCACUGGUAAAAUCUUCAAUCCAAGGGAAAAAAAAAGAAAAAAUCACAGGUAUAUGGAGAGAAUGAUAAAUAUAACUAAAACAGAUACGAUUUUUUUUUUCCAGAUUUUUUAUCAACAGACAUCUGAUCUGUAAAUAUGGACUCUAAAUCAACAUUAUGCAUUUAUACGCUUACCAGACGAGACUAAGAUUAGGUGGAAAUGAGAGUUUUCACAAGAUUUGUGAAAUUCAUUUGCAUGUGCGAGUGCGCUAGGGCUCGCUUGCGGCCGGAGAUCUUCAAGCACAUGCCGACCGGAGCUUGCUUUCUCCCUUCCGAGACUCGAAAUGGGUGGAUAUGGAGAUUUCUGUGAGUUGGGCAGUGAGGAAAUUUUGUCCAUUCGUGAGUGUAAUUUGGGGAAAGUGGGUGGAGAGAGUUUUCAGCCUUUGUUUUAUUAAUUUGGCAUCACGUGUUUCCGUUGGGAGAAGGCCAAAUUUCCC